UGGGUUUGGUUAAGAAAACUUCAGAGUAAUUUAGAGAGAGAGAUGGGUUGUGUUGCUUUGACUUCUCUCAUGGCGACAAUAGAGCUCCAGUUUCUGCGAUCCAUUCCGAGGGUAUCAAUUCUUGACGAUGAAUUACCAAUGAAAUUCUUUGAAAAGCUUUCAUCUUUGCAAGCUUUUCUGCAGGAAAAAUCCAGGGGUAGUGGUGCUGCAAUCCAAGAUUUGGAGAUACAGAUCAGAGACUUCGCACUGAAUGCCGAAGACCGCAUCGAAAUACAACUCAGCAACUUCCUUUUGUCCAAGAACAGAGAGGAUCAACAAAAAGCUGCACAGAAACUCCAUCAAACCUUGAUAGAAGCAGCAGAAAACGCAGCUCACUUGCUGAAAAUCAUCAAUGAAUCUGAUGAUGAGUCAAAUGAAUGUCAAUCACUGAUUCCUUGGUCGUUGGAUACAUCCUUGCGGCUGCAGCCUCCAAAGCUGGAGGGCAAAAUGGUGGGUCGUCGCCAUGAUUACUUACUGGUAAAGAAUCAACUCCUCUAUAGCGAUCAACGAAGAGUUAUCCUCAUUGUCGGGAUGAAUGGUAUUGGAAAGACAACUUUAGCUGCGAGUGUUUAUGAGGAUUCAUCAGUUGCAUCGCACUUUGAUGUUCGAGCUUGGAUUACUAUGUCUGGAGAAUACAACGUGAGGCAAACGCUACACGACCUUCUUUUGACACUAGUAGAGCCAGAUCAUGAAACUAGAAAGAGAACAACUCUUGAUGAUGAUGAUGAUCUACUAGCUAAGCAGGUAUCCAAAUGCUUGAAAGGUAAGAGAUAUCUUAUUGUUUUGGAUAACUUAUGGAACAAUCGAGUUUGGGAUGACAUCCAAGGAUAUUUUCCUAAUGAUAAUAAUGGAAGUCGUAUAGUGCUGACCACUACACACUUUGAUCAGGGUUCCUACACUUCACUUGAUUGUAUCCAUAACAUGGCUUUGCUAGAUUCAAAGGAAAGUUGGGAUUUAUUUUGUAGUGAUCCUUUUCUUGAAAAACAUAUGGCACCUAAAUUUGAAAAAAUUAGGAGUCAUGUUUUGGAGAAAUGUGAAGGAUUACCGUUGUCAAUUGUUACCGUGGCACAACGUUUGUCUAAAUGUAACAACAUACGAAAGGAAUGGGAGAAGGUUGAAAAGGAAUUAGAGUUGUUAGGAUUUCUAGAUAGCUCUGCUCUCACCCUUAGGUACAAUCAAUUGCCACAAUAUUUGAAAGUUUGCUUUCUCUAUCUUGGAGUAUUCCCGAAGCGUACUGUAAUCCGAGUCAAACAGCUUGUUAGGUUAUGGAUUGCUGAGGGAGUUUUGAAUCCAUUUGGGAAUGAAGGUCUAGAAAGUCAAGCUUAUGAGUACUUACGGGGGCUUAUUGAUAGAAGUCUUGUCUCAAUUGAAAAUUGGAGUUCUGAUGGAAAAAUUAAGAGUUGUAAAAUGCAUAGCGCUUUGCAUAGCUUUUGUGUAAGAGAAGCUCAGAAGAGUAGCAUUUUGUGUGCUGUAAAUACUCAGCAAUAUCCACAAGGGUCAUUUAACAUGUUUGCAAAUUCAUGUCGCUGGUUAAGUUUAUACAAACAUAGUUUUGACUAUUAUGUGUUGUUUAGAACAAACACUCCUCGCUCCAUUUUCUUCUUUCAAAAAGAUGAUGAAAUAUCUGUACCGUUCAAGUUGUUAAGAGUUUUGGCUUCUGCUCCAUCUUCAUUUUUCCAAAGAGUGCCAACACAAUUACAUGACUUAAUUUUUUUGAGAUACCUAUCCGUAAAAGAAUGGUUUAAGGGUCUAGAUUAUAUUGUGUCAGCUAAUAGAAACUUGCAGACACUUGUUGUUUCCGAUAGUAAUGAAUCCCAACCAAGAGGACCUACUCUCCAUUUGCCUUCUACAAUUUGGGAGUCACCACAGUUACAACAUCUCGAACUUGACAGUUCAUAUGUGAUUGAUCCGCCAAGCAUGAUUAAAGAUAAUAUGCAGACAUUAUCUUGGGUGUGUCCAACUCAUUGUAGAACGGAAGUGUAUCGCAAGUUUCCAAACAUUAAAAAGUUGAAAAUUUUUGGAUUUUGCGACAGCCCUAUUAUUUUGGAUGAUUUAAACUAUUUGGUGCGGCUUGAGAGGUUAACAAUUUCAGUUUCAUUUGGAUGCAUUGUAACCCUUCCAAAACCUUCUAUGUUUCCUUCACGACUGAAAAAGUUGUCAUUGAAUGAUACUAGCCUUUCUAAGAAGGAUUUAAUGAUAAUUGGCAUGUUGCCCCAACUUGAGGUGUUGAAGUUGAAAAAUGUUUUUCAUGGGGAAGUAUGGGAAAUAGUUGAAGGCCGAAGAUUCAAUCAAUUAAGAUUCUUGCAUCUUGAAGAUAAAAAGCUCAAGAAAUGGAUGGCUAAUAAAGAGUCGUUCCAAUGUCUUGAACGCUUAGUUCUAAGAUUUUGUUGUUGUUUGGAAAAAAUUCCUCGCAUGAUGAAUUAUGUUAUCACCUUGAAGUCAAUUGAAUUAGAGGGGUGUGGUCCUUUUGUUGUUGUUUCGGCAUUGCACAUUCAGGAAUUUCGAAACUAUAUUUCAGACAUAAAUUUUGAGGUCAAAAUCAAGGGAUCUGAAGCACAAAGCUUGGCUUGAUUGCAUGCUACAAAAUGUAUAGAUCAAAAUAUUGUUUCAGAUUUCCCUCAAUAGGAAUACCUUCAAGUUAUAGGAAUGCUUAGAUCAAAUUUGAAGGAUGUGAAUAUGAUGAAUCAUAGUGCGCAUACACAAGCUAAGUGACUGGGAGGAAUAUCUCAAAUUCUCCAGUAUAAUGGUGAAUUUCAAUUUACAAGCUAAGGAAGAUCAAGUUGAAGAUAAUAUAAUGACUUUUUCUUUUAAGUGUACUUUCAGUUGGGAAUAUAUGUUAUAAUGCACUUUGUAGUUAUAAUGCACUUUUCAGUUGCAUAAUUGUGGAAAUAUUUCUAAUGUUUGUAUGGAAUGGAGUCUUAUUCAUGCA